CUCAGGUUAGAACACAGAGCCGUGGGAACGGUGCUUAGAGACCUACAGACACAGAUAUUUAGUCCUCUGCUGCCACCAGCCCAUGGUCAACUGCCAAAUGGACCUGAGUGAUUGGGACCUGGAUCUGGAGUCAAGGUAGACCCACACGGGUGCAGGCUAGGAACACCCUUCCCCACAGAUGGUUUUGUUCAAUUUCACCCUGAGCUUCUUCUUUGGUCUGUGUCAGCCUCUGGGGCCUCGAAACCUUCUUGGAGGAUCUGCAACUGGCUGCCCAUGGCGGCAGUGACCCUGAGGCCGAGGCUUUUCCAUCUUAAAAUUCAAUUCCUGUCAACAUUUUGGCAUUAUCUUCCCUAA
rnacentral:lncRNA from 1 species